AGGCAAAACUCAAAAAAUAGAUCUCAGUUCGGACUGUAGGCUGCAACUCGCCUACACGAAGUUGGAAUUGCUAGUAAUCGUGGAUCAGCAUGCCACGGUGAAUACGUUCCCGGGUCUUGUACACACCGCCCGUCACACCAUGGGAGCUGGUAACACCCGAAGUCAGUAGUCUAACCGCAAGGAGGACGCUGCCGAAGGUGGGAUUAGCGACUGGGGUGAAGUCGUAACAAGGUAAC
rnacentral:rRNA from 1 species